CGUGGCUAACCUGCCCUUGGGACAGAGACACCCCCGGGAAACUGGGGCUAAUCCCUGAUAGGUGAAGAACUCUGGAAUGAGUCUUCACCCAAAAGACGCCUAGGCCACGCUUCUAGGCGCCGCCCAAGGAUGGGGCCGCGACCGAUCAGGUUGUUGGUGAGGUAACGGCCUACCAAGCCUUUUACCGGUACGGGCCGUGAGAGCGGGAGCCCGGAGAUGGGCACUGAGACAAGGGCCCAGGUCCUACGGGGCGCAGCAGUCGCGCAAACUUUGCAAUACACGAAAGUGUGACAGGGCUAUCCCGAGUGCCGUCCGCUGAGGGUGGCUUUUACCCAGUCUAGAAAGCUGGGAGAAUAAGGAGAGGGCAAGUCUGGUGUCAGCCGCCGCGGUAAUACCAGCUCUCCGAGUGGUGUGGAUGUUUAUUGGGCCUAAAGCAUCCGUAGCUUGCUGAUCAAGUCCCCUGUUAAACCCAACGAAUCAAUCGUUGGAUUGCGGGGGAUACUGCUCGGCUAGGGGACGGGAGAGGCCGACGGUAUUUUCGGGGUAGGGGUGAAAUCCUAUAAUCCCGAGAGGACCACCAGUGGCGAAGGCUGUCGGCUAGAACGCGCCCAACGGUGAGGGAUGAAAGCUGGGGGAGCGAACCGGAUUAGAUACCCGGGUAGUCCCAGCUGU
rnacentral:rRNA from 1 species